rnacentral:sRNA from 1 species
GGCUGGCCAACUUGGCACAGCCACUGCAUUAGGUACCCCAACAACACACAUACAGCCGCCCCUUCAACGUCGAAGGGCGAGCUUCCCGAGAGAACGGGACCAGGACAAAGGCGUCCUCGCUAGAUCACUAGCGGGGACGCC